rnacentral:rRNA from 1 species
AACGAACGCUGGCGGCAUGCCUAACACAUGCAAGUCGAACGAGACCUUCGGGUCUAGUGGCGCACGGGUGCGUAACGCGUGGGAACCUGCCCUUAGGUUCGGAAUAACUCCCCGAAAGGGGUGCUAAUACCGGAUAAUGUCUUCGGACCAAAGAUUUAUCACCUUUGGAUGGGCCCGCGUUGGAUUAGCUAGUUGGUAGGGUAAAAGCCUACCAAGGCGACGAUCCAUAGCUGGUCUGAGAGGAUGAUCAACCACACUGGGACUGAGACACGGCCCAGACUCCUACGGGAGGCAGCAGUGGGGAAUAUUGGACAAUGGGCGAAAGCCUGAUCCAGCAAUGCCGCGUGAGUGAUGAAGGCCUUAGGGUUGUAAAGCUCUUUUACCCGGGAUGAUAAUGACAGUACCGGGAGAAUAAGCUCCGGCUAACUCCGUG